rnacentral:rRNA from 1 species
AGUUGACAUCGUUUASAGCGUGGACUACCRGGGUAUCUAAUCSUGUUUGCUCCCCACGCUUUCGCUCCUCAGCGUCAGUUCUUGACCAGGKGGSCGCCUUCGCCACKGGUAUUCCUUCCAAUAUCUACGCAUUUCACCGMUACACUGRAAAUUCUACCACCCUCUUCAAAACUCUAGCCUGMCAGUUCAAAAUGCUAUUCCAAGGUUGAGCCSUGGGCUUUCACAUCUUGCUUAACAAACCGCCUACGUGCGCUUUACGCCCAGUAAUUCMGAUUAACGCUUGCACCCUCCGUAUUACCGCGGCUGCUGGCACGGAGUUAGCCGGUGCUUCUUCUGUGGCUAACGUCAAUGAAKGNUGCUAUUAACRAHAYACCCUUCCUCASCACUGAAAGUGCUUUACAACCCGAAGGCCUUCUUCACACACGCGGSAUGGCUGGAUCAGGCUUGCGCCCAUUGUCCAAUAUUCCCCACUGCUGCCUCCCGUAGGC